AUUGAACGCUGGCGGCAUGCCUUACACAUGCAAGUCGAACGGCAGCACGGGAGCAAUCCUGGUGGCGAGUGGCGAACGGGUGAGUAAUAUAUCGGAACGUGCCCAGUCGUGGGGGAUAACGCAGCGAAAGCUGUGCUAAUACCGCAUACGAUCUACGGAUGAAAGCGGGGGAUCGCAAGACCUCGCGCGAUUGGAGCGGCCGAUAACAGAUUAGCUAGUUGGUGGGGUAAAGGCCCACCAAGGCGACGAUCUGUAGCUGGUCUGAGAGGACGACCAGCCACACUGGAACGGAGACACGGUCCAGACUCCGACGGGAGGCAGCAGUGGGGAAUUUUGGACAAUGGGCGCAAGCCUGAUCCAGCAAUGCCGCGUGCAGGAUGAAGGCCUUCGGGUUGUAAACUGCUUUUGUACGGAACGAAACGGCCCUUUCUAAUACAGGGGGCUAAUGACGGUACCGUAAGAAUAAGCACCGGCUAACUACGUGCCAGCCGCCGCCGUAA
rnacentral:rRNA from 1 species